UACGUAGGUGGCAAGCGUUGUCCGGAUUUACUGGGCGUAAAGAGCGCGCAGGCGGUCGUUCAAGUCGCGUGUGAAAGCCCCCGGCUCAACUGGGGAGGGUCACGCGAUACUGAUCGACUCGAAGGCAGGAGAGGGAAGUGGAAUUCCCGGUGUAGUGGUGAAAUGCGUAGAUAUCGGGAGGAACACCAGUGGCGAAGGCGACUUCCUGGCCUGUUCUUGACGCUGAGGCGGCGAAAGCUAGGGGAGCAAACGGG
rnacentral:rRNA from 1 species